CGGCGAGUAGCGCAGCUUGGUAGCGCUACUGGUUUGGGACCAGUGGGUCGGAGGUUCGAAUCCUCUCUCGCCGACCA
rnacentral:tRNA from 1 species